rnacentral:rRNA from 1 species
AAUCAACGCUGGCGGCGUGCCUAACACAUGCAAGUCGAACGAGAAAGGGGCUUCGGCCCUGAGUAGAGUGGCGGACGGGUGAGUAACACGUGGGUGAUCUACCCUCCAGUGGGGGAUAACACAUCGAAAGGUGUGCUAAUACCGCAUGGAGUUCCGGUUGUCGCGAUCGGAAUGAAAGCAGCAAUGUGCUGGAGGAGGGGCCCGCGCCGGAUUAGCUAGUUGGUGGGGUGAUGGCCGACCAAGGCAACGAUCCGUAGCCGGCCUGAAAGGGUGACCGGCCACACUGGAACUGAGACACGGUCCAGACUCCUACGGGAGGCAGCAGUGGGGAAUUUUGCGCAAUGGGGGAAACCCUGACGCAGCAACGCCGCGUGGACGAUGAAGGCCUUUGGGUCGUAAAGUCCUGUCAGCAGGGAAAAACACAAUGAUGGUACCUGCAGAGGAAGCUCCGGCUAACUUCGUGCCAGCCGCCGCCGUAA